rnacentral:rRNA from 1 species
UGGGGAAUUUUGGACAAUGGACGCAAGUCUGAUCCAGCCAUGCCGCGUGCGGGAAGAAGGCCUUCGGGUUGUGAACCGCUUUUGUCAGGGAAGAAACGAGUUUCUCUAAUACAGAGACUUAAUGACGGUACCUGAAGAAUAAGCACCGGCUAACUACGUGCCAGCAGCCGCGGUAAUACGUAGGGUGCGAGCGUUAAUCGGAAUUACUGGGCGUAAAGCGUGCGCAGGCGGUUAUGUAAGACAGAUGUGAAAUCCCCGGGCUCAACCUGGGAACUGCGUUUGUGACUGCAUAACUAGAGUACGGUAGAGGGGGAUGGAAUUCCGCGUGUAGCAGUGAAAUGCGUAGACAUGCGGAGGAACACCGAUGGCGAAGGCAAUCCCCUGGGCCUGCACUGACGCUCAUGCACGAAAGCGUGGGGAGCAAACA